AGGUGUUGUUGGGUAGGGGAGCGUUCUGUAAGCCUGUGAAGGUGGCCUGUGAGGGUUGCUGGAGGUAUCAGAAGUGCGAAUGCUGACAUAAGUAACGAUAAAGCGGGUGAAAAGCCCGCUCGCCGGAAGACCAAGGGUUCCUGUCCAACGUUAAUCGGGGCAGGGUGAGUCGACCCCUAAGGCGAGGCCGAAAGGCGUAGUCGAUGGGAAACGGGUUAAUAUUCCCGUACUUGGUGUUACUGCGAAGGGGGGACGGAGAAGGCUAUGUUGGCCGGGCGACGGUUGUCCCGGUUUAAGCGUGUAGGCUGGUUUUCCAGGCAAAUCCGGAAAAUCAAGGCUGAGGCGUGACGACGAGGCACUACGGUGCUGAAGCAACAAAUGCCCUGCUUCCAGGAAAAGCCUCUAAGCAUCAGGUAACAUCAAAUCGUACCCCAAACCGACACAGGUGGUCAGGUAGAGAAUACCAAGGCGCUUGAGAGAACUCGGGUGAAGGAACUAGGCAAAAUGGUGCCGUAACUUCGGGAGAAGGCACGCUGACACGUAGGUGAAGUGAUUUACUCAUGGAGCUGAAGUCAGUCGAAGAUACCAGCUGGCUGCAACUGUUUAUUAAAAACACAGCACUGUGCAAACACGAAAGUGGACGUAUACGGUGUGACGCCUGCCCGGUGCCGGAAGGUUAAUUGAUGGGGUCAGCGCAAGCGAAGCUCCUGAUCGAAGCCCCGGUAAACGGCGGCCGUAACUAUAACGGUCCUAAGGUAGCGAAAUUCCUUGUCGGGUAAGUUCCGACCUGCACGAAUGGCGUAAUGAUGGCCAGGCUGUCUCCACCCGAGACUCAGUGAAAUUGAACUCGCUGUGAAGAUGCAGUGUACCCGCGGCAAGACGGAAAGACCCCGUGAACCUUUACUAUAGCUUGACACUGAACAUUGAGCCUUGAUGUGUAG
rnacentral:rRNA from 1 species